GAUGAACGCUGGCGGCGUGCCUAAUACAUGCAAGUCGAGCGAACAGAUGAGGAGCUUGCUCCUCUGACGUUAGCGGAGGACGGGUGAGUAACACGUGGAUAACCUACCUAUAAGACUGGGAUAACUUCGGGAAACCGGAGCUAAUACCGGAUAAUAUAUUGAACCGCAUGGGUCAAUAGUGAAAGACGGUUUUGGUGUCAGUUAUAGAUGGAUCCGCGCCGCAUUGGCUAGUUGGUAAGGUACCGGCUUACCAAGGCAACUAUGCGUAGCCGACCGGUUGGGCGGAUCGCCCACCCUGGAACGGAGCCACGGUCCAUACUCCUACGGGACGCAGCAGUAGGCAAUCGUCCGCAAUGGUCGAGAGCAUUACGGAGCAGCGCCGCGUGAGUGAUGACGGUCUUCGGAGCGUAAUACUCUGUUAUUAGUUAAGAACAACUGUGUAAGUAACUAUGCACGUCUUGACGGUACCUAAUCAGAAAGCAACGGCUAACUACGUG
rnacentral:rRNA from 1 species